rnacentral:lncRNA from 1 species
GGACAGGCUUCUAGACCUCAUCCUCGUGUUUAACUCCUUUAUUUGACGUAUGGGGAAACUGAGGCCCAAGAAGGUAAAGGACCCUCCAAUUAAUAUUGUUGCUCAAGACUCAUAUUUUUUCUAGAUUCACUUUUUUUCAGUAAUCAAAAAAAAGCAAAUCACUUUCUUUUGAUAAAAUAUCUCUAAGUUUCAGGAUAUAUCAAUAGGUACACCCAAAACUGAAAGCAUGUAGAGGGAAGACUGAAAACAUCAGAACAGAAUUAUCACAGAACCGUGGAACCACUAGAAAAGGUGUAAAAUAUGUGUAAUGGGAAUACAAGAAGAAGAAAAAAACAACAGAA